UACGUAGGGUGCGAGCGUUAUUCGGAAUUACUGGGCGUAAAGCGUGCGCAGGCGGCGCGUUAAGUCAGGUGUGAAAGCCCCGAGCUUAACUUGGGAAUUGCGCUUGUGACUGGCGAGCUGGAGUGUGGCAGAGGGAUGUGGAAUUCCACGUGUAGCAGUGAAAUGCGUAGAGAUGGGGAGGAACACCGAUGGCGAAGGCAGCCUCCUGGGCCAGCACUGACGCUCAUGCACGAAAGCGUGGGGAGCAAACAGG
rnacentral:rRNA from 1 species